AUUGAACGCUGGCGGCAGGCCUAACACAUGCAAGUCGAGCGCGAAAGGUCUUCGGACUGAGUAGAGCGGCGGACGGGUGAGUAACGCGUAGGAAUCUACCUAGUAGUGGGGGACAACCUGUGGAAACGCAGGCUAAUACCGCAUACGCCCUACGGGGGAAAGCGGGGGAUCUUCGGACCUCGUGCUAUUAGAUGAGCCUGCGUAAGAUUAGCUAGUUGGUGAGGUAAAGGCUCACCAAGGCGACGAUCUUUAGCUGGUCUGAGAGGAUGAUCAGUCACACUGGAACUGAGACACGGUCCAGACUCCUACGGGAGGCAGCAGUGGGGAAUAUUGCACAAUGGGGGAAACCCUGAUGCAGCCAUGCCGUGUGUGUGAAGAAGGCUCUAGGGUUGUAAAGCACUUUCAGCGGGGAGGAAAGGUUGUAAUUUAAUAGAUUGCAGCUGUGACGUUACCCGCAGAAGAAGCACCGGCUAACUCCGUGCCAGCAGCCGCGGUAAUACGGAGGGUGCAAGCGUUAGUCGGAAUUACUGGGCGUAAAGCGCGCGUAGGCGGAUGCUUAAGUCGGAUGUGAAAGCCCCGGGCUCAACCUGGGAACUGCAU
rnacentral:rRNA from 1 species